rnacentral:rRNA from 1 species
CCUACGGGAGGCAGCAGUGGGGAAUCUUGCGCAAUGGGCGAAAGCCUGACGCAGCAACGCCGCGUGCGGGAAGAAGGCUUUCGGGCUGUAAACCGCUUUCAGCAGGAACGAAAAUGACGGUACCUGCAGAAGAAGGAGCGGCCAACUAUGUGCCAGCAGCCGCGGUGAUACAUAGGCUUCAAGCGUUGUCCGGAUUUAUUGGGCGUAAAGAGUUCGUAGGCGGUCGAGUAAGUCGGGUGUGAAAAUUCUGGGCUCAACCCAGAGACGCCACCCGAUACUGCUUGACUUGAGUUCGAUAGGGGAGUGGGGAAUUCCUAGUGUAGCGGUGAAAUGCGCAGAUAUUAGGAGGAACACCGGUGGCGAAGGCGCCACUCUGGAUCGAUACUGACGCUGAGGAACGAAAGCAUGGGUAGCAAACAGGAUUAGAUACCCUGGUAGUCCAUGCCGUAAACGGUGGGCACUAGGUGUGGGUUUCUAUUAACGAAAUCCGCGCCGUCGCUAACGCAUUAAGUGCCCCGCCUGGGGAGUACGGUCGCGAAGACUAAACUUAAAGGAAUUGAACGG